UGACUCCUGACAUUGGGACUACUUUUGCUUCCUCACAAAGGCUGCGGAGGGUUAUUGAAUGCCAACAGCGUGAGUUGUCCUUCGCCCAUAAAUACGCCUCUCCCCGCUCUGCGGCAGGCAUUCAGGCAGGAGCGCAGAGAUGACUUCUGAGACCGAGGCACUACUUGAGGAAACCAGAUAAGUUUUUCUAUUAAAAAGAGAUAGAAAAUAAUAUUGUUUAGGAAAUGUAAAUAGCGAAGGAAGGUACUUACUGAGAUACUGCUUAGCAUUAAUAUUUUAACUUUUGUAACAAAGAUCUUAUUUAAGGGAAAAUAGGAUGAAGACUUACUUAAAAAGUAGUUUCAGAAAGGAAGAAAGAAAAUACUUCCAGAACAUGACGGAGAUUAAGAGAUGAAACUUCUUUACGAAGUAAAAUAAUUUUCAAAGAAAUGGCUGAUAGGACGGCAAAGUCUGAACUCAAAAACGCCUUAAUUAAAUUGAAGGGCAAACUUUAAAAAUACCAUUAAACCGUAGGUGACAUAACUAGAACAUAAUUGUUAAUUAAAGAAAGUUGGAGGUGGUUAAACUAUCUAUUAAAUGCCGUAUUUAAAAGAAAAUUGAUUUAAGAGAGGCCUUCAAAUUCAUGGCGCAGGAAAGAUUGUGUCAUUUGAAGCCCAAUUGCUCUUACGGCAUUAUUAGCCCAAGAUGGGCAAUUGUUAAUUUAGAAAUUGUAGGAUAAAAUUUUGGAGAAGAUUAGAAAUUUGAAGUGGAAAACUUGGAAGACAGAAGUGUACAGGAAGGUGAAGAAAAAGACUUAGAGAAGACAGGAAAAUAGAAGAUACAACAUGCAUUUUAGAAGACAGAAAAACUAAGUCCAAAAGGUAGAAAGCAGAAGAGAAAGUAUUUAGGCAAACUAACCAAAGCAACUAAGGGCACAGAUACAAAUGUAGUAGAAAACCAGAAGAUAGAAAAUGAGAAGAUACAGAUUUAAUAGAAAAGUAGAAGAUAGAAAAUGAGAAGAUACAGAUUUAAGUAGAAAAAUAGAAGAUAGAAAAUGAGAAGAUACAAGUUUAGUAGAAAAUAGAAGAUAGAAAAAGAUACAGAUUAAGUAGAAAAAUAGAAGAUAGAAAAUGAGAAGAUACAGAAAAGUAGAAAACUAGAAGAUAGAAAAUGAGAAGAUACAGACUAAGUAGAAAAAUAGAAGAUAGAAAAUGAGAUACAGACUAAGUAGAAAAAUAGAAGAUAGAAAAUGAGAAGAUACAGAAAAGUAGAAAAAUAGAAGAUAGAAAAUGAGAAGAUACAGACUAAGUAGAAAAAUAGAAGAUAGAAAAUGAGAAGAUACAGACUAAGUAGAAAAAUAGAAGAUAGAAAAUGAGAUACAGACUAAGUAGAAAAAUAGAAGAUAGAAAAUGAGAAGAUACAGAAAAGUAGAAAAAUAGAAGAUAGAAAAUGAGAAGAUACAGACUAAGUAGAAAAAUAGAAGAUAGAAAAUGAGAAGAUACAAGUUUAGUAGAAAAGUAGAAGAUAGAAAACGAGAAGAUACAAGUUUAGUAGAAGAUAGAAGGUUGUCAAGAAAAGUAUUUCAGCUAGAAGAUAGUACAGGAACAAAAGGAAAUUAAAAUUUUAAUUUGUAAUUUAAUAAUUUACUAUAAAAGCUCAUAAGUUUAAUUUCUGGUGGUGCAGAAGUUAGCUUUGAGAAGACGAGGAUGUUUAAAUUGCUGUAGAACAGGCCUAAUUUAGAAAAAUAUCCGGAAGAAGCUAGAAGGGAAAUCGGCUAAAAAAAAAAUAGCAAAAAUCCACUAAAAGGACUGAAGUAAUCUUAAAACUAAGGGUAGGAUGUUUUGGAAGACUUACAAAAUCUUGAAAGGCCUAAGUACAUUAGCUUAGUUCUCUUUGGAAAAUUUAAAGGACUUUCAUAACCGAAGUAAUUCGAGAUCAAGAAUAAUCACCAACUUAACGCUUUUGCUUUGGACUGAGCUCAGAUGAAGUAAAACCUGAGGACUUAGCGUUAAUUGUCAGCUGACCAGGUGCUACACAGAAGUGGAUUCAGUGAAGCUAGGACGACAGGAGCGACAGACAGGAUUCCAGGAGCCAGUGUGGUGAAGCUAGGACUGAGCGGCCAGCGGCGGCUGGCGAAUAGGAGAGGAGCCCGGGAGCAGUGCGGUGUGGAGGCAGCUAGCAAGAAGGAGGAGCGCUUGGCGGUGAAGCUAGAGAGGCUUCCGGGGAAGGAGGAGGAGCCCGUGCGGCGUGCUGACGCCAGCGUGCGACUGGGCGACCAGGCGACCAGGCGGAGGCGGCGAGCAGGCGGUUGGAGGAUAGAUAGAGGAGCCUAGAGCAGCGGGCGUCCGGUGCGAGGCCGCGGGGCAGCCAGUGGUGGUAAAGUCCGGGAGGCCGGCCGCGCCCUGGUUUUUGGUAACGAGAAUGGUAACCUUUACUUCACUAAUGGUAAUGGGGGCGUUGUAUUAAGCGGCAAGGGCUCUCUUAUGGAAUGUAGGCCGAUUUCCGGGUGUUGUAGGUUUCUCUUUUUCAGGCUUAUUUUCUCAUGCAUCUUGUCUGAAGCUUUUGAGGGCAGACUUCCAAGGCCCGGAGGAAUGGUAGAUGGCAAGUUUUAUGGUUUUUGUCUUUUAACCAAUUUGAGGGAAACAUGAAUUGAGACAAAAUUAAGGCAAGUUUUGUUUUUUAGCUUGGGGGUAAUGAAACAUUUGAGUUUUGUGAAUGUCAAGUUUGGGCGUGUAUGGGGGGAAGUUUUUGUGGGGGGGCAAAAUGUCUUGAGUUCUUUUCCCCUUAGGUCUGUCUAGAAUCUCAAAGGCAAAUGACUCAAGGUAACAGAAAAAAAGAAAAUCCAGUAUCAGGAUAAUCAGAACAUCACAGGUUUACAGUUUCUAGAAAUUAGAGCACGAGCAGUUCUCACUUUGAGGUCUGUGGAGGAGCUGUGCAUUGGAGAAAUGGCUGGUAGUUAUUCUUUUUUUCCACCCCAUAAUCAGAUUUUUAAAAGUAUGUAAUCCUUAAAAGUUUAUUUGAAGUAUUUUGGGGUGUUCUUAAUAGGGAAAAGGGUGGGGGGAGCAAAAUGUUUUUUUCUAAGAUUUUCCACAGAUGCUAUAGUGCUAUUGACAAACUGGGUUAGAGAAGGAUUGUGCCGAUAUGCUGUUGGCAACACCGCCUUUAGGGAUUGGAGCUGCUUCUUCUCUUGGAAGAGUAUUCCCAGUUGAAGCUGAAAGGUACAGCACAGUGCAGCUUUGGUUCACAUUCAGUCAUCUCAGGAGAACUUCAGAAGAUCUUGACUAGGCCAAAUGUUGAAGUUAAGUUUUCAAAUACUGUGACUUUUAAAAUAACCUUUUAUUAAAAGGGGAGGGGCAAAUUUUGGCAACCUUUGGCAGUAGCUUGUUAUGGUUGGGGUUGGGGGGGUUGGGUUUAGGUAAUUGUUUAGUUUAUGAUUUCAGAUAAACUCAUGCCAGAGAACUUAAGUACUUAGGAUGAAAAAACUAAGGAAUCUCAACUUCCAUGUUGGCAAGUAACUCCCAAUCUUCAAGUUUUUGUUUGCCCUCAAUUUUUGAAUUGAGCAGCUGGGAAGUUUCAUGAAGAUCCACUGGAUUCAAAAUGCAGGGCCUGGGGAAGGAAAGUGUUGGACGGGGUUGGUCUAGCCCACUGGGCUGACAAAGAGAAUACCUUGGGAAUUUUUGAACACUGAAGUUUGGAUAUGGUAGUGUGUUGGUUCUCUUUUGGAAUUUUUUUCAGGUGGUUUAAUAAAAGUUAAUACUAUAGGAGCUUCAGAGCAGAGGAAGUGGCUUAAUGAUCCUGAAGGGAUUUCUUCUGAUGGUAGCUUUUGUGUUACAAGUAAGAUUCUAUUUUUAAUUGUACAUGAGCAAGUGUGUGUGUUUUUUGGUGUAGGAAAAACAUUUUUCCUUUGACUGCAAAACAAGAUGUUAAGGUAUGCUUUAAAAUUAUUGUCAAUUGUAUAUUUUAUGUUUGCAUCCUAAGUUUGUAAAUCAUAACUGAUAAAAGAAAGGGUGGGCUUUGUUGACGAGGGAGGGGAAAUCUUUUUUUCUGUAGACUUUUUUCAGAUAACAUCUUCUGAGUCAUAACCAGCCUGGCAAUAAUGAUGGCCUAGAUGGAGAGGGAACAACUCCUUGGUGAAUGAUAAGUAAAAGCAGAAAAGAUUAUAUUUCAUACCUUCAUUGGGGAAAAAGCAUAACCCUGAGAUCCUAACUACUGAUGAAAACAUUGUCUGCAUAUGCCAAAAAAAGCAAAUGAAAGCUACCAAUUUAAAGUUAAUGGAAUCUACCAUUUUAAAGUUACGGCUUAUCAAGCUAUACUCACAAAAAAUGAAUCGAUGAGAAAUUAAAUAAUGAAUUGAGAAAUACAAUGAAGAUCAUAUGUCCAUCUCAAAAUACUGCUUUUACAAAAGCAGAAUAUAAAUGAAAUGAAAUGAAAAUGAUAAUACUACAUUAAUCCCGGAAUAAAAGAAGCUGAAAUAAUUCAGAGGAGUUGGGAUCAAGUGGAUUCAGAGGAGAGGAGGCUGUGCUGUUUGCCAAUCUUUCGUUUGCCUCAGACAGGUUCUCUUCGUUAUCAGAAGAGUUGCUUCAUUUCAUCUGGGAGCAGAAAACAGCAGGCAACUGUUAACAGAUAAGUUUAACUUGCAUCUGCAGUUUUGCAUGUUAGGGCUAAGUGCUUAUUUUUAUUAAGAGCUGUGGAGGUCUUAAGUAUUGAACAUGGCCUCCUUCCUGGUCCCUUUCCGAGGAUUCCAGGAUUGUGAGGAAGUUCCCCAUUCAGCCUUUUUUAAGAUUAGACAGGACUUUACCUGUGGGCUUCCAUGAUGGGAUAGCACCUCACUCAGAGGCAAGUUAAUUCUUCAAGCCUCUCCAGAUUAGUACUUAAUAAUAAAACUGAAAUUUUUGUUUAGCACUGAAUUGAAAAACCCUAUGAUAGGAUAGGAUAAGAAUGUGCUGUUAAUCAGAUGUUAAUCUUGCUAAAAUUUAAAAGUUGUGUUGUUGUAUGUUGUGCAGAAAACCAUUAAAUCGUUCAAAAUAAAACAUUUUUAAUAGAAAAUGUAUGCUUUUAGGAAGCAGUUGUCUUAUUUAAAUAAAAUACUGUUUGUUUUGUGGUUAGUGUUGGGCAAUCUUGGGGGGAUUCUUCUCUAAUCUUUCAGAAACUUUGCGAACACUCUUUAAUGGACAAGAUCAGGAAUUGAGCGGAAGAAGGAAUUUAACUCUUAAGGCAGGAAAGACAAAUUUUAUUCUUCAUAAAUUGAUGAGCAUUUAAUAAUGCCAGGCACAUGGCAAUAGAGGGCCUCUAAAUAAGGAAUAAAUACCUAAUAGGACAGGUGGGAGAUAAUCAGAAAAACAGGUAACUGCACCUACACUGUUUCCAGAAAGUCCAGGGAUCUGUAAACUUAGAGCAAUAAAAUACUGUCUACAUUUCCAAAGUUUGCAUGUUAACUUAAAUGCUUAUGACCAUCUCAUCCAGUGUUAGCUAAUGUCCACACUAUUGGCCUUUUAUGUAGACACAAGUUGGGGGGCAUGUGGGUUUUUUAAGAAUUUUCCUUUGCAGAGGCUUCAUUUCAUCCCUCAUGAAGCUGUUCAGGACUUUGACUUGCAUCUAGCGCUUGGCUCUGCCUUCUGUUCUCCUAGUGUGUGAGACCCUGCAGUGAGUUUAUCAGCAUACUCAAGUAACAUUUCCCCUCUGAUUUUCCAGGGAUGGGAGGAGGGGGCGGGGCUUACUUGUCAGUUUUUUUUUUACAGACUACACAGAAUGCGGUUGUCUUGACCUCAGGUCUGUCUGUUCUGUUGGCAAGUAAUGCAGUACUGUUCUGAUCCGCUGCUAUUAGAAUGCAUUGUGAGACGACUGGAGUAUGAUUUAAAGUUGUGUUUCCCCCAAUGCUUGGAGUAGUGAUUGUUGAAGGAAAACCAGCUGAGUGCUAAAGGCUGAGUGUUGAGGAAAUUUCUGCAGCUUUAAGUAUUCAUGUUUGUGAUUGAAGCCAAGUGCCUUUUGCUGUGCUUUAGGUAAAAUGCUUUUUGUUCUUUCCUGGUAGGGGGGUGGGGAGGGCACUGAAGCCUUUAGUCUUUUCCAGAUGCAACUUAAACUCAGUGACAAGAAAUGCAAGUCUUCAAGAAAUGUAACUGGCAAGUGGAAAUGUUAAUACAGUUCAGUGGUCUUACUUAGUGCAUUGUGUUUGUGUGGGUUUCUCUCUCCCCUCCCUUGGUCUUAAUUCUUACACACAGGAACAUUCAAAACAGCAGACGUAUGAAAAGGGCCAGAGAAGCCAGCCCCAGUAAGGAAAAAUAGCUUAUUUUCUUUAAACAAAUAUUCCGUAUUGUAUGUGGGGAUUGGGAACCACUAGUUCUUUCAGAUGCUAUUCUUCAGACUAUAGAAGGAGCUUCCAGUUGCAUUCACCAGUGGACAAUGAGGACAACAGGUGACCAAGCCUUUUCUGUUUACAUACCAAGUCAGUUAAUGGGUAAAUAACUUAGUGUGGAAUAGACUUCAGCUUUAUGCUGGAGCAAAUAGUACAUACAUGAGCACGUUGUUGGCCUGGGGGCGGAGGGGUGAGGUGGGCGCUAAGCCUUUUUUUUUAAGAUUUUUCAGGUAUACCUCACUAAAGGCACCGAAGGCUUAAAGUAGGACAACCACGGAGCCUUCCUGUGGCAAGAGACAACAAAGCGCUAUUAACUAAGGUCAAAACGGGUGUCGGCCUCGUAACCCCAUCCUCUGUCAGAAACGAGGACUUGCCUUAACACUUGGCAGACAUGCACUGGUCCUCUUUCCUGGGGAGUGAAGCGCCCAAAGGAAUGCCUGCGUACCUUGUAAACCCCUGGGCUUGUCCUAAUAUUGAAUUAAGCUGUUUUUAUAGCAGCUCUUAAAGCUUGAACAAACUUCAAGUGAUGCUUGAAGGGGAGGGAAAGGGGUAAAGCGGGCAACCCCUUUUCCCUAGCUUUUCCAGAAGCCUGUUAAAAAGCAAGGUCUCCCCACAAGUGACUUCUCUGCCACAUCGCCACUCCCCGCCUUUGGCCUAGCGCAGACCCUUCACCCCUCACCUCGAUGCUGCCAGUAGCUUGGAUCCUUGGCAUGGUCCAUAUCUGUCGCAGGUAUUUUCCAUGCAUCUAGUGUUGAGAAGCCUUACAAUUAACUUUUUAAAAAAACGAUUUCUUAAUUUUUUAGUGAGAGAGAUGGAGCCCACAACCCAGGCAUGUGCCCUGACUGGGAAUCAACCAGCAACCUUUUGGUGCAUGGGACGACCGAUAUACAACCAACUGAACCACGCCGAUUACGGCUAAAAACUUUAAAGAUUUUAUAUUAAUAAAAAAUUAAAAGGUC